rnacentral:rRNA from 1 species
CGCGGCCUAUCAGCUUGUUGGUGAGGUAAUGGCUCACCAAGGCUUCGACGGGUAGCCGGCCUGAGAGGGCGACCGGCCACACUGGGACUGAGAUACGGCCCAGACUCCUACGGGAGGCGGCAGUGGGGAAUAUUGCACAAUGGGCGCAAGCCUGAUGCAGCAACGCCGCGUGCGGGAUGACGGCCUUCGGGUUGUAAACCGCUUUCAGUAGGGACGAAGCUAACGUGACGGUACCUACAGAAGAAGGACCGGCUAACUACGUGCCAGCAGCCGCGGUGAUACGUAGGGUCCGAGCGUUGUCCGGAAUUAUUGGGCGUAAAGGGCUUGUAGGCGGUCCGUCGCGUCAGGAGUGAAAACUCGGGGCUUAACCCCGAGCCUGCUUUUGAUACGGGCGGACUAGAGGGAUGCAGGGGAGAACGGAAUUCCUGGUGGAGCGGUGGAAUGCGCAGAUAUCAGGAGGAACACCGGUGGCGAAGGCGGUUCUCUGGGCAUCACCUGACGCUGAGAAGCGAAAGCGUGGGGAGCAAACAGGCUUAGAUACCCUGGUAGUCCACGCCGUAAACGGUGGGCACUAGGUGUGGGGGACAUUCCACGUUCUCCGUGCCGAAGCUAACGCAUUAAGUGCCCCGCCUGGGGAGUACGG